rnacentral:misc_RNA from 1 species
AUUGCUUAUUUUAUUUGCUGCACGAGCCUUGCAGAGGAGGAGUAAUUUUUGCAAAUUAUAGACAGGUAUUUCAAUUUGUGAAUCAGCAGUUAUCUUCAUAAUAAGCUUGUUGUUUUACAUACAGAGCACGUAAACUGACCAGUUCAUACCAAUCACAAUACCAAAGUAUCUUAAAGCCACAGCUUGCCUUGCUGCAGCAUAGAUGAUUUCAGUUUGGAUUAUCAGUGGAAGAUAAACAAAACCAUCGUAAAUUGGCGAGCACUUAUUGCAUUGAGGGGAUGUCUGAGCAGGACCAGCAGCCGCGGGACCGGGCGGCGGCCGAGCUGCCGGCCAAGUCGGCCUGCUCCUCUGGACCGGCGCCGGACCGCAGCACGCUGCUGUUGGAGCGGCUGUUCGGCGUCACGGGCCGGCGGCUGGCGGCGGCCGGCUCCGGGCCGGCGCCGCUGCUGCUGCCCGAGCUGACCGCCUCCGGGGCGCCGCUCUCUCUGGACACGCUGCAGGAGGCGGUCUUUGAGCGGCUCAUGGUCACCGACCGGCCGGCAGACGAGGGCGACGCCUGGACCUACCUGGUGAGGUGCAGCGGCCGGGUGGCGGCCGAGACGUCCACCCAGCUGCCCGACGAACAGCGCGCCGCCGUCCGCGAGCUGAUCGUGCAGAACGGCUCCACCGUGCUCCAGCAGCCGGAUAUUUUCGGCAUGGAGAACCGGCGCAGCUUCUUCGAGUCGCUGCGCGCGCACCUGGCCAUCGACGGCUGGUUCGACGACUUCCUGCGCGCGGUGGUGCUGCGGCUCGUGGAGGAGGAGGCGCCGCUGCGCGACAUAUUCCAGGAGACGUUCCAGUACAUCCAGCGAGUGGUUGGCGAGACCAAGGGCUCGCUGAUGAACAUGGACCGGUUCGUGUACAGCCUGGCCACGUUCAUGUCGACGAUGGCGCCGCUGGCCGAGACGCUGGUCUCGCUGAGCGAGGUGCCCGACACGCUGUCGCUGGGCGGUGUGCUCUACUGUCGCGUGCCGCUCGGCUCGCUGCUCUGGCCUUCGGCGCUGAACCCAGUCGGAGAGUUCUUCGACCAGCCGGUGACGCUGACCCAGCAGAGCGUCGACGUGGUCAACAGCAGCAUCUGGACGUCGGAGCGGUUCAUCGCCGAGACGGUGCACAAGGUAUUUGAGAACAUCCUGCGCUGCGGCGGCCGGGCGCGGCAGCUGCUGCUGCGCUGGAUCGCCGCCUGCCUGCGCGCCAACGCCGGCCGCGCCAAAAUCUGGCACACGGACAUGGACGGCAGCGGCGGCCACAUGGCGCCCGACGGCUUCAUGCUCAACCUGGGCUCGGUGCUGCUGCGGCUGUCGCUGCCGUUCGUCCGCGACCUGGACAGCCCCAAGCUGCUGGAGGUGGACCCGACCUACUGCGCCGCGCCGAUGCCCACCUCCGAGGAGCAGCAGGCGGCUCGGUGGCAGCACCUGGCUGACCUGGACAAGGAGACGUGCCUGGUGCCGAGGCCAGAGGACGCGCCGCCGCCCGCUCCCGGCAAGUUCAACUUUCGCACCGAGUGCUUCUAUCUCUGUCAUAAGACGCUCCAGCUGGGACUCAAGGUGCUGCAGGACAAGCUGUCGAAGCUGAACGGCGAGCUGGGCCGGAUGCAGCGCGUGUACCGGGACGCGCUGACUCAGGCCGCCGGCCAGGACGCCGAGCUGGAGGGCAUCAAGGGCCGGUUCGAGGGUCUGAUGCAGCGCUACCUGUGCCUGAAGGCGGCGCUGACGGAGCCCAGCCGCACCGAGCACGCCUCGCAGUUCCUGACGGCCACGGCCGUGUGGCUGACGCAGCAGGCCGCCCGGCCCGCAGACGACGAGCCGCUGCGGAGCCGCCGCGAGCUGACGUUCCCGCUCCCGUCCCCAGUCCACCCGAGCCUCUCCUGCAUCCCCGAGAUGCUGGCCGACAACCUGACCUCCCACCUGCUGGCCGUGGGCCGCUUCACCCCCGAGCAGUGGAGCGUGGCGCCCGACGCCUGCCGACACAUGUUCUCAUUUAUCCUCGUCUUUAUGGGCUCCACGGAGCGGAUGCGCAACCCGCACCUGCGCGCCCAGCUGGCCGCCUGUCUGGAGGUGCUGCUGCCCGACUUUGGAGAGGAGCACGGCCACGGCCUAUUGAGCGCCGGCUACCAGCGACAGCAGCUGUUCCUGUCGCACGAGCUGGCCGACCAGGUAGUGCCCGCCCUGCUGCACGUGUUCGUCAGCAUCGAGAUGACCGGCCAGAGCGUGCAGUUCGAGGAGAAGUUCAACUACCGGCGGCCCAUGUACGUCAUCAUGAAGUACCUCUGGAGCGUCGACCGGCACCGAAACAUGUUCUUCUCUCUGUCCGAGUCGGCCGAACGGGACAUGGACUCGGCGACACCUCCAAUCUUCCUGCGCUUCAUCAACCUGCUGAUGAACGACGCCGUCUUUCUUCUGGACGAGGCGCUCAGCUACAUGACGCAGCUCAGGGACCAGGUCCAGCACCGUCAGACGGAGGAGUACAGCGCCCUGCCGGCCCAGCAGCGACACCAGCAGGAGGCCAACUUCCGGCACAUGGGCAUGCUGGCGCGCUUCCACAACAUCAUGGCGCGGGAGACGAUCAGCGCGCUGGAGAUGCUCACCUCGGGGAUCCGCUCCAUCUUUCUGCAGCCGGCCAUCGUGGACCGCGUGGUGGCCAUGCUCAACUACUUCCUGCUGCAGCUGGUCGGACCCAAACGCAGGGAGCUCAAGGUGGGCCCAAACGCGGGGAGCUCGGGGCGCGUCCAGACGUGGGGAGCUCAAGGUACGCGACACCUCUGACGACUACGACUUCAAGCCGGGCGAGUUGGUGACUGGUAUCUGCAAGAUCUACACCCAGCUGGAGUGUGAGCAGUUCUGCGCGGCGGUGGCGGCCGACGAGCGCUCCUACUCGCCGCAGCUUUUCACAGACGCCAUCCAAGUGCUCGCGCGGAUCGGCCAGGGCCAGCUGAUCCCGGCCGUGGAGUCGGUGGCCGCUCAGGUGGCCGGCUCGGGCGCCGCGCUCAAAGCCGAGGAGGACCUGGCCGCGCAGGCGCCCGACCACUUCCUGGACCCCAUCAUCUCCAGCCUGAUGGCGGACCCGGUACGGCUGCCCACGUCCGGCAUCAUCUGCGACAGGUCCACCAUCGCACGGCACCUUCUGUCGGACCAGUCGGACCCGUUCAACCGGAAGCCGCUUACCAUGGAGCAGGUGGAGCCGGCCGCCGAGCUCAAGGCGGAGAUCGAGGAGUGGCGCCGACAGAAGCUGGCCGAGCGCUCCGCCGGCGACCGGUGACCUGUGACCCGUGACUGGUGAGCUGUGACCGGUGAUCGGUGCGUGGACCAGAUGCGUUCCGUGCCGCCGGCCGCUCACAGUGACCGCAGAAACAUUCCAGCCUACGUGGCCUGGAAACCGAAGAGGGUCUACUAGAAAAUGUAUAUACGGCGUGCGAGCGUAACAUUCAGAUUAUCAGCCGGGGUGCGUGGUUUCCCGGGUUAUGAGGCCAGAUAUUGCCAUCCACCAGCUGUAUGUGUGCCGCCCGCCGCGUCUCUGAGCUGCUAGAGUACUUGUCGGAGGCCGCUGGUCGGUCCGUGUGGCAGCGCUCUGUGCGUAUGGCAGCCCUGGAGCCGGUGUUUGCGUGUGGAUCGGUUUCGCUAUGUGACGGCGGGCUCAGAUUGCUGGUGCAGUCAGUUGCAGUUAUGUUUUAUGUUGUUUAUUACCUGGAGUGCACAUCACGUAUGAAAAUUGAUUAUCUAUGAGACAAUACACAACAAUUGGUGAACAAGGCAUGAAAA